CAGUAGCCGCGGUAAUACGUAGGGCGCAAGCGUUGUCCGGAAUUAUUGGGCGUAAAGGGCUCGUAGGCGGUUUGUCGCGUCUGCUGUGAAAACUCGAGGCUCAACCUCGGGCUUGCAGUGGGUACGGGCAGACUAGAGUGCGGUAGGGGAGACUGGAAUUCCUGGUGUAGCGGUGGAAUGCGCAGAUAUCAGGAGGAACACCGAUGACGAAGGCAGGUCUCUGGGCCGCAACUGACGCUGAGGAGCGAAAGCAUGGGGAGCGAACAGGAUUAGAUACCCCAGUAGUCCCUGUCUCUUAUAC
rnacentral:rRNA from 1 species